UUGUGUCACAAUAGUAAUUGAACUUAGUAUAAGAGGAAUUGUUGAUUCGCACAAUUGGUCAUUGCACUUGAUUGAAAAGCUAGUGGUGCAAAGCUACUAUGUAUGGGAUUAUAACUAAAUGACUCUAAGUCAGAAUCCAUGCUAGAUGUGGUGCCAUCUACCUCUUGUGUUGUUACUUGAUCUUAGAUAGGGGUGCCAUGUGCACCCUAGGGGACUUGUGCAUGACUAAGCUUGCUGCUUGUGCUGAACCUAUAAACACACAUUGAACAACUUGGGAGAUAAAUCCUUUGCAAUGACUUAAAUAAGGGAUGGAGUACUAUAAGUGGUAGAGUAGCCUUGCUGCUAUGAUCUACUAAAGUUCAUCCUUCUGUCUCCAAGAUUU
rnacentral:ncRNA from 1 species